rnacentral:rRNA from 1 species
AUGGGCGGAAGCCUGAUCCAGCAACGCCGCGUGAGGGAUGACGGCCUUCGGGUUGUAAACCUCUUUCAGCACCGACGAAGCGGAAGUGACGGUAGGUGCAGAAGAAGGACCGGCCAACUACGUGCCAGCAGCCGCGGUAAUACGUAGGGUCCGAGCGUUGUCCGGAAUUAUUGGGCGUAAAGGGCUCGUAGGCGGUUUGUCGCGUCGGGAGUGAAAACCAGGUGCUUAACACCUGGCCUGCUUUCGAUACGGGCAGACUAGAGGCAUUCAGGGGAGAACGGAAUUCCUGGUGUAGCGGUGAAAUGCGCAGAUAUCAGGAGGAACACCGGUGGCGAAGGCGGUUCUCUGGGAAUGUCCUGACGCUGAGGAGCGAAAGUGUGGGGAGCGAACAGGAUUAGAUACCCUGGUAGUCCACACCGUAAACGUUGGGCGCUAGGUGUGGGAUCCAUUCCACGGGUUCCGUGCCGCAGCUAACGCAUUAAGCGCCCCGCCUGGGGAGUACGGCCGCAAGGCUAAAACUCAA